rnacentral:rRNA from 1 species
GACGAACGCUGGCGGCGUGCCUAAUACAUGCAAGUAGGACGCAGUUGCGAACGGGUGAGUAACGCGUAGGUAACUACCUAUUAGAGGGGGAUAACUAUUGGAAACGAUAGCUAAUACCGCAUACUAGUAGAUGGACCUUCGUUGUAUUAGCUAGUAGGGGGGGUAAUGGCCUACCUAGGCACCGAUACAUAGCCGACCGGAGAGGGUGAUCGGCCAAACUGGGACUGCGGCCAGGCCCAGACUCCUGCGGGAGGCAGCAGUAGGGAAUCUUCGGCAAUGGGGGGAACCCUGACCGAGCAACGCCGCGGGAGGGAAGAAGGUUUUCGGAGCGUAAAGCUCUGUUGUUAAGGGAGCGGUACUUAACCAGAAAGGGACGGCUAACUACGUGCCAGCAGCCGCGGUAAUUC